rnacentral:misc_RNA from 1 species
UGGUUCUGGCAUCGAUGAAGAACGCAGCGAAAUGCGAUAAGUAGUGUGAAUUGCAGAAUUCAGUGAAUCAUCGAAUCUUUGAACGCACAUUGCGCCCUUUGGUAUUCCUUAGGGCAUGCCUGUUCGAGCGUCAUGCGAGCUAUCAAGCCUAGCUUGGUGCUGGGCGCUUGUCCCGCUGUCUGCGGCGACUCGCCUCAAAUCUAUUGGCGGCCUGGACCUUGGCUUUGAGCGCAGCAGAGUCCGCGUAUCUUGCCUUGCGUGCUCGUCCCCAGAAGCUUCUCCAAAGUUUGACCUCGGAUCAGGUAGGGAUACCCGCUGA